GGUCGCGCCCAGCACGGCCUGUGCUGGGCGCAACCGUGCAUGUGUGGAAGUCCCUAUACCCAGAGUACCCCUGCCGGGAGAUGCGCGAAGCCCGAACGAGCUUUUGCCAACUUGACUGGUCUUAAAAUCCCCUAGACUGUGACUGCCGGGUCAGCUUUUUGAUGAACAUCACCGAUUCCAGUGUACAGGGAUAUUGCAACACGCCCCCUCGGCUGAGUGGCCGUGGCCUAGACACGCUGAUGGCACCCGAUUUACAUUGCUACUUUCCUUAAACACACGAGGUGAAAAGGAAAAAAAAAAGAAUAAAGCGUUUUUUUUGUGGACUCUG